rnacentral:rRNA from 1 species
UGGGGAAUAUUGCACAAUGGGCGGAAGCCUGAUGCAGCGACGCCGCGUGGGGGAUGAAGGCCUUCGGGUUGUAAACUCCUUUCGACAGGGACGAAGCGUAAGUGACGGUACCUGUAUAAGAAGUACCGGCUAACUACGUGCCAGCAGCCGCGGUAAUACGUAGGGUGCGAGCGUUGUCCGGAAUUACUGGGCGUAAAGAGCUCGUAGGUGGUUUGUCGCGUCGUCUGUGAAAUUCCGGGGCUUAACUCCGGGCGUGCAGGCGAUACGGGCUGACUUGAGUGCUGUAGGGGAGACUGGAAUUCCUGGUGUAGCGGUGAAAUGCGCAGAUAUCAGGAGGAACACCGAUGGCGAAGGCAGGUCUCUGGGCAGUAACUGACGCUGAGGAGCGAAAGCAUGGGUAGCGAACAGGAUUAGAUACCCUGGUAGUCCAUGCCGUAAACGGUGGGCGCUAGGUGUAGGGGGCUUCCACGUCUUCUGUGCCGUAGCUAACGCAUUAAGCGCCCCGCCUGGGGAGUACGGCCGCAAGGCUA